CGGGGCCCGUGCAGGAGCUCUCCUGCCCUGAGCCCCUGGACAUAGGCGGUGCUCAAACACAGGGUAGAUUGUAAUCACGAGCAUAAUUAAGGGUGCUGAGUCCCUUGUCAUCGCGGUGACCUCACCCCAGAGAAAACAAAGUGUGGUCCUUCUUGCUUUGGCCUUGGGAGAAGGGGCUGGGCUGCCUGCUCUGUGGCCUUCAGCAAUUGGGGCCCAUGGGACCCCGACGCCUCUCCCUGGGGGGGGGCAGUCCACGCAGGCUGUUGUCACGGAAGGUCUCAGCCCCACGCAGAACUGAGAGGGAGGAGACCUUACUGCCCCCUCCUCCCCAUGGAAGGGCACCUCUUCUCCGCCCUGGGGGCACACAGCUGCCUACCCCUCCUCAGUAUCCCCACAGGCUCCGCCCUCCCCCCAAACCUGUCCAGAAAGGAUCUAAAACUCCUUCCCUUCAAAGAGGAAUGAGUUCCCAGGGCUCUUUCUGCCAAAGAAGGUGUCAUUAAGGUUUAGCAAACACCUUAGGGAUGAUCUGCUCCCGGCCACCCCGGCCACCGUCCAGGGCCCUCCCUGAGCUUCGCUGCGGUCCUGUGUUACAGCUGGGGGGGCGGGGGUGUUCAAGGGGUGACCAGCCAGUGGGGGGGCCAGAAUCCGGAGUGUGCCUUCCCCCUGCGUGUCUGGGGCACACACACGCCAUCCGGACUGCCUGCCGAGGCCCCAGGUGUCCGUCUCCAGCCCCCCGGGGCCGGGAUCAGGGGGUGAAGAGCUGCCUGGCCAACUCCUAUUCAUCCCUCGGAGCCCAACGCUGAAUGCCCCCAACCCUGGAAGCCCCUCCCUGGCUCUUCUGGAGCAGAGCUGAACACAUUCUUCUGUGCUUCCACUGCAUUUGCCCGGAACUUGUUCGCAAGUGCCGACAAAAUGGAAGACACCGGCCAGUCACCAGGAACACUGCACCGAGGGAGACAAAUUCAGGCCUCACCUCAAGGACCCUGCACUCCACCGGGGAGGCAAGCACCGCCCGGUCCACAGCGGUUUAAUGAAGUCACAGAGAGGCACUGAGCGCUCGCUGUGUGAAGAGGAGACAGCUGGUGCUCAGAGACGUCAAACAACUUGCCUGAGGUCACACAGCUGGUGAGCAGCAGAGGCUGCAUUCGAACGCAGGCAGCUGGCUCCGAGGCGCACCCUUCCCGCCACCUGCGGUGUUGCACACCUCGUGCGGCCAGCACGUGUCACCCGACCGCCCCCCCCCCACCCGACCACGUCGCCCUCGAGGGUGCGAGCCGCUGUCUCCAUGUCGUACCCACACCCAGAGCGGUUUCCACCGAAUGUUUGCUGAAUGAGUAAAUGGCCG